AGCGAACGCUGGCGGAAUGCCUAACACAUGCAAGUCGCGCGGUUCGGUUUCGGCCGGGCAGCGGCGGACGGGUGCGCAACGCGUAGGAACGUGCCCAGGGGUGGGGGACAACGCCGGGAAACUGGCGCUAAUACCGCAUAUGGGCCGAGGCCCAAAGCCUUCGGGCGCCCUUGGAGCGGCCUAGCGUCCGAUUAGCUUGUUGGGGGGUAACGGCCCACCAAGGCGACGAUCGGUAGCUGGUCUGAGAGGAUGAUCAGCCACACUGGGACUGAGACACGGCCCAGACUCCUACGGGAGGCAGCAGUGGGGAAUAUUGGACAAUGGGCGCAAGCCUGAUCCAGCAAUUCCGCGUGGGUGAAGAA
rnacentral:rRNA from 1 species